rnacentral:lncRNA from 1 species
CGAAGAGAGAAGUUGGGAAAAAGACUUUCUCCUGAGGGUUAUCUACUUUUCCUGCUGGUGACUGGAAAUCUUUCCCCCCAACACUUCCCAAUUGAAGGGACUUCUGAAGAGAAACCUGAGCAGAAUUUACCUCAGCUCCUGUUGCCCAGGGGUUUUCCAGUAUCCCUUGGAACACAUCUCCUUUUGAAACAGAAACCCAGAAGAAGGCUCAGACAUGAUUCAUGUCUAGCACUCUACAAUGGCGCAGGCAUCCUGAACAAGAAGAUUCCAUCUAAAAUCCACACAUUCAGACAUGCAUGCACAAUUAUAGCUUUUAUUAAAAAAAUACUCUGCUUUUUUAUAUUGCUUUCUCUUCCCAGUCACCUCUUUCCUCCCUUUCCUGUAAUUUUUUUUGAACCCCUUACCUUCUGUCUCAGAAUCCGUUAUAAGUAUCAGUUCUGAGAUAGAAGAGAGAUAAGGGAUAGGCAAUGAAGAUUAAGUGACUCGUUCAGGGUCACACAGCCAGGCAGUAUCUGAGUCAAAAUCUGAACCCAGUAUAUCCCAUCUCCAGACCUGGGUCUCUAUCCAUUGAGUUUGCCUAGUUGCCCCUACAAUUUUCUUUUUAAACUAAAGAGUUAAGCAAAACAAACUUUAAACCAGAUACAACUCCAACAGAAAGCACACACAACAAUGGACCCAGAGGAAGGAAGUGGGUUUUAUUGUUGGUUCUCUGAACUGACCAGAGCCACAACAAUAAUAAUAAUGAGAGAUAGUUCUUUAAAGUUUAUAAAACACUUUACAUUCACUAUUUCAUUUGAACAAGAUUAUACAUAAUUUAAAUUCUGGUGGGUUUCCCCCAACCCCUUUCUUUUAGUGGUAUUGAGGUCAUUUGUGUGUGCUGUGCUCCCAGAAUGCAAAUCCUUUAGCCUAGGGCCAAGGGUAGAAUUAAGGAAAUAAGGGGAUACCAUAAAAAAUCGAUUCCACAUUCCGAUCUCAAAUGUCAGCUUCCAUUGUGCCUUGUGCUAUUAAAGUCACUUCUGAAUUGUUAGAAGGAACCUGUUUUGGAAGUGGAAUGUAAUUCAUUCCAUCAUUUCCUCCACACAUUAAGUUUUCACUGUAAUGCCCUAUUUUACCCAACCACCUCCGUUAGAGGCUAUUAAACCUUCACUUCCCACUACAGUCUAUUAGGCCCCAUUACAUACAUCCCAGAUAUGAAAGAUCUUGGUAUUAAAUGCAAAAUUCCUGCUUCGAAAGCAGUUUCUUUCCACUUAUUAUGCUAAGGCUGCUUCCCUAAAUCUCUUCUCCAUGUCUUUAAAAUAGAAAGUGGAAAGAGAUCGGUUGAUUGGAAACAGCUACUGGAAUUCUUUUUAAAGAAAACAACAUUUUAUUGAUUUUUUUCUUGCUGUUUUCAUUUCCCAAUAUUCUCUUUACCCCCAUUAAACCAUUCUUUGUAAUAAAGAUAAACGAUUAAGUCA